rnacentral:rRNA from 1 species
UAAUACGUAGGGGGCGAGCGUUGUCCGGAAUGAUUGGGCGUAAAGGGCGCGUAGGCGGCCCGGUAAGUCUGGAGUGAAAGUCCUGCUUUUAAGGUGGGAAUUGCUUUGGAUACUGUCGGGCUUGAGUGCAGGAGAGGUAAGUGGAAUUCCCAGUGUAGCGGUGAAAUGCGUAGAGAUUGGGAGGAACACCAGUGGCGAAGGCGACUUACUGGACUGUAACUGACGCUGAGGCGCGAAAGUGUGGGGAGCAAACAGGAUUAGAUACCCUGGUAGUCCACACUGUAAACGAUGAAUGCUAGGUGUAGGGGGUAUCGACCCCUUCUGUGCCGCAGUAAACACAAUAAGCAUUCCGCCUGGGGAGUACGGCCGCAAGGUUGAAACUCAAAGGAAUUGACGGGGGCCCGCACAAGCAGCGGAGCAUGUGGUUUAAUUCGACGCAACGCGAAGAACCUUACCAGGUCUUGACAUCCAGGUAAAGCAGUAGAGAUACUGUGUGUGCUUGCACAAUCUGAGACAGGUGGUGCAUGGUUGUCGUCAGCUCGUGUCGUGAGAUGU